AAAAAUCUUACUAAAAAUAGUUAGCCAAAUUUCCUAAUCAAAAUUAAUUAGCGACAGGAUUGAUGAAUACUUCACAUUCAUUAUUUAAAAAUAAACAUGACUUUAAUGAAAAACUAUGCAUAGUAUUAAAAUAAAUUCUUCAUAUUGUUAUUUUUUAGUUAGAUAUCUUUUGCGCAUAAUUUUAAAUAUUAAUUGUUCGAGUUGGAUAACUAGAUAUGAUCUUAAGGAAAGAGUAAUAAAACUUUUUUCGAUGUCUUUAGAAUCGAAUUCAAACCUAAAAC
rnacentral:lncRNA from 1 species